CUCUCUCUCCCCCAGCUAGGGCCAGGAGUCCCCCUGCACCCACGCUCCUGCCGCCCCACAGUAAAUAGUCCCAUUUUGAGAGCACUUCGGAGUCGAUUAAAGUGGCAAGAGACUGGAGAAUGGCUUAUAAGCAUUUUGAGCAGCCGCAUUCCACAUGCCUCUCCAGUUCUUCCAUGAAGGAGGAUCCAUCCACACACUGAAAGAUGUAUUUCCGCCUUUUGCUCCGGAGGGGAACGCAACACUGCCCAUUACUGCAACUGCCACGACAUUCCAUCUGGGGAACUUUGGAGGCAGUGACACACGAGGUGUAGCCAUGCUGCUUAUGGAUCACUUCUCGGACAAUCUCCCCUUGGCAAAGAUUCUCUGUUAAGCCAAUGGAGACAAUAGAGAGAGGUUUGUAAGAGAUUAUAAUUUAAAGAUGCUCCCUCAUAAGGGACAGUAUUAUAAACAUAGGAUUUUGGAGAUGUGCCCUGGAGGCAGGGGUUGGGAACACCGCAUGGCUGUGCGUAGCAGUUCACCAGAGACGCUCCCCAGUUUGCGUUAUUAAAGUUUUAUUCCUUUCUCA